rnacentral:rRNA from 1 species
GACGAACGCUGGCGGCGUGCUUAACACAUGCAAGUCGAACGGAAAGGCCCUGCUUUUGUGGGGUGCUCGAGUGGCGAACGGGUGAGUAACACGUGAGUAACCUGCCCUUGACUUUGGGAUAACUUCAGGAAACUGGGGCUAAUACCGGAUAGGAGCUCCUGCUGCAUGGUGGGGGUUGGAAAGUUUCGGCGGUUGGGGAUGGACUCGCGGCUUAUCAGCUUGUUGGUGGGGUAGUGGCUUACCAAGGCUUUGACGGGUAGCCGGCAUGAGAGGGUGACCGGCGACAAUGGGACUGAGAGACGGACCAGACUCCUACGGGGGGCAGCAGUGGGAAAUAUGGCACAAUGAGCGGAAGCCUGAGGCAGAAACGCCGCGGGCGGGAUGACGGCCUUCGGGGUGUAAACAGCUUUCGCCUGAGACGAAGCGUGAGUGACGGUAAUGGGUAAAGAAGCACCGGCUAACUACGUG